UGGGGAAUAUUGGACAAUGGGCGGAAGCCUGAUCCAGCAACGCCGCGUGAGGGAUGACGGCCUUCGGGUUGUAAACCUCUUUCAGUACCGACGAAGCGAGAGUGACGGUAGGUACAGAAGAAGCACCGGCCAACUACGUGCCAGCAGCCGCGGUAAUACGUAGGGUGCGAGCGUUGUCCGGAAUUAUUGGGCGUAAAGGGCUCGUAGGCGGUUUGUCGCGUCGGGAGUGAAAACAUCCAGCUUAACUGGGUGCUUGCUUUCGAUACGGGCAGACUUGAGGUAUGCAGGGGAGAAUGGAAUUCCUGGUGUAGCGGUGAAAUGCGCAGAUAUCAGGAGGAACACCGGUGGCGAAGGCGGUUCUCUGGGCAUUACCUGACGCUGAGGAGCGAAAGUGUGGGGAGCGAACAGGAUUAGAUACC
rnacentral:rRNA from 1 species